ACCUUAGCAAUGAUACACAUCAAACUAAAGGCCCAAAAUCCAUUUUCCCCCAAUUCCCCAACUUAAUUCCUCAUACCAAACUGAUACCACCGCAUACAGUAUGCGUAUAUACAUAUGAAUAUACCUCCCUUUUCAAUCAUCUUCUUCUCUCCUCUAACAAAUUCAAAACCAAAAUUUCUUUCAAAAAUGAUGACGCUAGUUUAAUUACUUAUCCAUUCCUACAAGAACCUUCGAGAAAACCUCCAGGUGUCUAAUCUCAUGGUUGGUUCAUUCUUCUUCCCAAAUCGGACGUUCCUUGUUGAUUUUGUUCAAAAUUCGAUGAGAAUUUGUACCUUUUCGAGUUGUAAACCGUGGAUUCUCCUAAGAAUUCAAAUUUUGAAUUUUGAAUUUUUUAUCAAAAAAACCCAAAAAUUCUAUCUUUUUUCCCCCUUUUCCCAAAAUUCCCAUUCUGUAAGUUACCCCUUUUUUUGGUCUUUGUUAGGGGGAUGAAAAAUGGGAAUUGAAAUUCACACGAAAUAGAUAGGCAAAAACAAAUAAGAAAUUUCGGAAAAUAGUAUUUCUAUAGCCAAAAGAUUCUGAAGUUAUUGUUUCCGAGUUCAAGCUUUCAUCGGAAUUCCAUUUGUGGUAGUGAAGAAGCUUCGUAGUUAAGCUUGUCGUCCCAGAACGCUUCUCCAAAGAAGAUAUCUUCAGUUUCUUCGAGUCGACCCUGUCAAGAUUGGAUCAGCCUAAAGGGAAUGUGAAACAAGUGUGUGGAAAUUGAAAGGGAACUGAAAUAUUAAAAAGGAAGCUAGCAUAUAUAUUGUUGAGGCUAAAAAUGGAUUGUAUACACUUGAUAUACAGUCUGAUAUACAGGAAAAUAGGGUUAUAUAUACUGAUAUACAAAAUAUAUACAUCAGUGAUAUACUGUAAAAGUGGGCUGGAAAAACAUAAAUGCAGCAAUUCGGCCCAAGCGAAUAGAACCAUACUUGGGCCCCAUAUUUAUUUCCUUCUAUUAUAUUUAAUUCUUCUAACUCUAAUUUGUUUAUUUGACAAUAAUGUUUAGCUAUUUUAAUUAAAUUCCUUUAAAGAUGAA